AGCGAACGCUGGCGGCAGGCCUAACACAUGCAAGUCGAGCGCCCAGCAAUGGGAGCGGCAGACGGGAUAGUAACACGUGGGAACGUACCUUUCAGUUCGGAACAACCAAGGGAAACUUUGGCUAAUACCGAAUACGCCCGUAAGGGGAAAGAUUUAUCGCUGAAAGAUCGGCCCGCGUCUGAUUGGCUAGUUGGUGAGGUAAUGGCUCACCAAGGCGACGAUCAGUAGCUGGUCUGAGAGGAUGAUCAGCAUCACUGGGACUGAGACACGGCCCAGACUCCUACGGGAGGCAGCAGUGGGGAAUAUUGGACAAUGGGCGCAAGCCUGAUCCAGCCAUGCCGCGUGAGUGAUGAAGGCCUUAGGGUUGUAAAGCUCUUUCGUCAGGGAAGAUAAUGACGGUACCUGAAGAAGAAGCCCCGGCUAACUUCGUGCCAGCCGCCGCUGUAAAAC
rnacentral:rRNA from 1 species